GCUUAUGGCCAUACCAACCUGAGCGUGCCCAAUCUCAUCUGAUCUCUGAAGCUAAGCAGGAUCGGGCCUGGUAAGUACUUGGAUGGGAGACCACCUGGGAAUACCAGGUGCUGUAAGCU